rnacentral:rRNA from 1 species
GGGAAUAUUGGACAAUGGGGGGAACCCUGAUCCAGCCAUGCCGCGUGUGUGAAGAAGGCCUUAUGGUUGUAAAGCACUUUAAGCGAGGAGGAGGCUGCUUUAGUUAAUACCUAGAGAUAGUGGACGUUACUCGCAGAAUAAGCAACGGCUAACUCUGUGCCAGCAGCCGCGGUAAUACAGAGGGUGCAAGCGUUAAUCGGAUUUACUGGGCGUAAAGCGCGCGUAGGCGGCUAAUUAAGUCAAAUGUGAAAUCCCCGAGCUUAACUUGGGAAUUGCAUUCGAUACUGGUUGACUAGAGUGUGGGAGAGGAUGGUAGAAUUCCAGGUGUAGCGGUGAAAUGCGUAGAGAUCUGGAGGAAUACCGAUGGCGAAGGCAGCCAUCUGGCCUAACACUGACGCUGAGGUGCGAAAGCAUGGGGAGC